UACAAAGGGUGCAAGCGUUACUCGGAAUUACUGGGCGUAAAGCGUGCGUAGGUGGUCUGUUAAGUCUGAUGUGAAAGCCCUGGGCUCAACCUGGGAAUUGCAUUGGAUACUGGCAGGCUAGAGUGCGGUAGAGGGUAGUGGAAUUCCCGGUGUAGCAGUGAAAUGCGUAGAGAUCGGGAGGAACACCAGUGGCGAAGGCGACUACCUGGACCAGCACUGACACUGAGGCACGAAAGCGUGGGGAGCAAACAGG
rnacentral:rRNA from 1 species